rnacentral:lncRNA from 1 species
UUGCUCUUCAGGUGGUUUAUGGGGUAUUUGCCUUCCCGAGGUGCCUUUGCUCAUAUUGAUCCCACUGUCAAGUGGUCAUUCAGGUUGAUGGGUUUGCGGGCUGAUGAUAUUGCUUGGAUUGGGGUAUUUGCCUUCCCGAGGUGCCUUUGCUCAUAUUGAUCCCACUGUCAAGUGGUCAUUCAGGUUGAUGGGUUUGCGGGCUGAUGAUAUUGCUUGGACUCACAAUGGUUUGGCUGGACGGGAUUUCGUAUGCAGUUGUGGGAGCUUACCUAAUGUGCCUUUGGUGGGAGUUCAGGGUUGCAUUAAUUACAACCCGGUGCUUCUCAGGAGACAGAUGGGGU